rnacentral:rRNA from 1 species
CGGCCAUGUAAGUCCGCUGUGAAAUCCACGCGCUCAACGUGUGGACGUGCAGCGGAUACUGCAUGGCUAGGGACCGGAUGGCGUCGAGGCUAUUCCCGGAGUAGGAGUGAAAUCCUAAAAUUCCGGGAGGAGCACCUGUGGCGAAAGCGCUCGGCGAAUACGGAUCCGACGGUGAGGGACGAAAGCCAGGGGAGCAAAGCGGAUUAGAUACCCGCGUAGUCCUGGCCGUAAACAUUGUCCGUUUGAUGUCGGCUAACCCUCGAGGUUAGCCGGUGCCGAAGUAAAAACGUUAAACGGACCGCCUGGGGA